GAACUUAAGCCAGCCCGUUUGACAGCCCUGUUGUGGAUCUCCUUGGCCAGGCCCCCCCAGCUGUAGCUAAUCCUUGGGAACAGGAUAUAAAGAGGAAGAGCUCAUCCUUAUCAAAGGAAAUGAGUGUCCUAAGCAGCCUGGUCAGGGAUCUUCCUGGAAGCAGCAAAUGAGCCUGGCCUCCUGGAGCCCAGUGGUAUCAUGAUCAAGGCAGAGGAGGAAGAAAGAUUUCAGCCUAGUCUUCAGGCACUUCAGCAGCCUGAAGAGRCGAGUCCUGAACUGUCAGCACCGGCUGCUCCGGCAUCUCUAGGCACUAAAUGCUGCCAUCUGGUGCCCCAAGUCCCGCUGCACAUGACGACCAUGCAUGUUGAAUGUAUGUUGAAUAGCAGUCAGAUGGCGCGAUCUGUCUGUCUCUUCUGUGACAGCCUCUCUCCCAGCAACAGGAAUGCUUAAUUUAGAAAAUGGCAUUUGAGAAUAUAGGAUAAGAACAGUUUGGAACUGCUCCUCCUAUUUCGACCAUCAGGACACAAAAUCUCUCUUCCUUCGUUAARUAAUUGGGGAGAGAUUCUUAUUUCCAAACAAAUCUGAUUCUGUUGCUAAGAUAAGAGACCCCAGAGUGAUGCCCUAGUGUGUUAGGACUGCAACUAAAUAUGUGCUUAAGAGAUUGCAGCCCAGCUGGUUUGGAUACUAGCAGUGAAGCUGCAACAACUMGAGUUUCAUUUGCUGAAGAUGAAUGUUCCUGUCAUGCUCCUGUCCAAACUGCCACCCCUGGAGCUGUGACCACCUGUAUCAGAGCUACCCUGCUCUCCUAGCUCUUAAUCUAUGUGCAAGGACCUUUGUCACAGGAUUAUAGAAGGUGCUUGAUGGCUUUGAGGGUAGGACUGGGAAGGUCUUGCUCAUGGAGCUGUUACCUGAAAGCCCCACGUCUCCUGACCUCCAUUCAUAUCAUCCUGAGUCUGCUUAUGCGGGAACCACCUCUGAAAAGCUUGGAGGCAGCAGGGAAAAUAAAAGGCACUGGACAGGAC